CCUACGGGCGGCAGCAGUGGGGAAUAUUGGACAAUGGGCGAAAGCCUGAUCCAGCCAUGCCGCGUGUGUGAAGAAGGCCUUCGGGUUGUAAAGCACUUUCAGUGGGGAAGAAAGCCUUGGGGCUAAUACCCUCGAGGAAGGACAUCACCCACAGAAGAAGCACCGGCUAACUCCGUGCCAGCAGCCGCGGUAAUACGGAGGGUGCGAGCGUUAAUCGGAAUUACUGGGCGUAAAGCGCGCGUAGGCGGUCUGAUAAGCCGGUUGUGAAAGCCCCGGGCUCAACCUGGGAACGGCAUCCGGAACUGUCAGGCUAGAGUGCAGGAGAGGAAGGUAGAAUUCCCGGUGUAGCGGUGAAAUGCGUAGAGAUCGGGAGGAAUACCAGUGGCGAAGGCGGCCUUCUGGACUGACACUGACGCUGAGGUGCGAAAGCGUGGGUAGCAAACAGGAUUAGAUCCCCUAGUAGUC
rnacentral:rRNA from 1 species